rnacentral:rRNA from 1 species
UCCAGACUCCUACGGGAGGCAGCAGUGGGGAAUAUUGCACAAUGGGGGAAACCCUGAUGCAGCGACGCCGCGUGAAGGAAGAAGUAUUUCGGUAUGUAAACUUCUAUCAGCAGGGAAGAAAAUGACGGUACCUGACUAAGAAGCCCCGGCUAACUACGUGCCAGCAGCCGCGGUAAUACGUAGGGGGCGAGCGUUAUCCGGAUUCACUGGGUGUAAAGGGAGCGUAGAUGGCCAAGCAAGCCAGGGGUGAAAGCCCGGGGCCCAACCCCGGGACUGCCCUUGGAACUGCAUGGCUGGAGUGCGGGAGGGGCAGGCGGAAUUCCUGGUGUAGCGGUGAAAUGCGUAGAUAUCAGGAGGAACACCGGCGGCGAAGGCGGCCUGCUGGACCGCGACUGACGUUGAGGCUCGAAAGCGUGGGGAGCGAACAGGAUUAGAUACCCGCGUAAA